rnacentral:rRNA from 1 species
AGGAUAAACGCUGGCGGCGUGCCUAACACAUGCAAGUCGAACGCCCUACGCAAGUAGGGAGUGGCGGACGGGUGAGGAACACGUGGGUUAUCUGCCUUUCGGUGAGGAAUACCAGCGAGAAAUCGCUGACAAUACCGCAUACGGUUCUUUCGAGAGGAAGAACGAAAGUCGUAAGACGCCGGGAGAUGAGCCUGCGCCCGAUUAGUUUGUUGGUGGGGUAAAAGCCUACCAAGACUGCAAUCGGUAGCUGGUCUGAGAGGACGAUCAGCCACACUGGGACUGAGACACGGCCCAGACUCCUACGGGAGGCAGCAGUGGGGAAUCUUGCGCAAUGGGGGAAACCCUGACGCAGCGACGCCGCGUGCGGGAUGGAAGGCCUUCGGGUUGUAAACCGCUUUCAGCAGGGACGAAAUUGACGGUACCUGCAGAAGAGGCCCGGCAACUACGUGCCAGCAGCCGC